GCUGGAUGCUGCUGCUGUUCCAGCUUCCUAGGUGUGGAAACUGAAGGACCAAGAGAUUAAACAGUGGUGCAAAAGUGGUAAGAAUUCAGCAUUCUCCUCGACAAGUGGACGAGCAUCUACUGUGCUUUCACAGCGGCUAUCACUAUUGCCAGCAGCAAGACUGUCAGCUCGGCGCCCUCGUCUGGUUGGAUGGGAAACUGCAGUUGCUAAGGGAGCUGGGAAUCUCUGAGGACAAAUGGGAAUUCUCACUGAUUUCUAGGACUACCCUGGGGCAGGCACCCUGCACAGCAAUACACACUGAACAAUGUCGAGUUUCUGCUGAAUAGACUUCCUACGUUGCUCUGGAAUUCGAAGUUGGCCUAACUGAGGUCUCCAGUUACAGAAAACACUGGCUCUGUAUCCUGGGCUUUGAGAAAACUUAUCAGGCUGUCACACUUACCAUCCCUUCAGUCUGCUUGUCAGGUUCCUUAAGGACGCAUAUCUCAAAUGUAUGGCAUCUACCUCUACCUGGGUCACAACCAAGUGGGUUUCUACUAGAUCGGUGUUCCUUGACAGCCAACAAGGGAGCUGACACUGCCCUCCUAAGUUCUGAUCUUGCUCCUGUUCAACUGGAACUUGAUGGAUCCCAUGUGGUUUCCCCCAUCCUGACGCUGUGGCUCAGACACUCUCCCUAAGCUGGUCCUUCCCUCCAAAUCCUGCCUUAAACACACUCAGAAGGUAGAAAACACUUCAGCAGCAAAGUCCUCUUCCCAAGCCAACAGUUGUGUUCUUCCAAUCACAUGAUCUUACCUUUUCAAUAAAAGGCAAAACAAACC
rnacentral:lncRNA from 1 species